UCGUAACAAGGUUUCCGUAGGUGAACCUGCGGAAGGAUCAUUAAAGAUUAUGAAUGAAUAGAUUACUGGGGGAAUCGUCUGAACAAGGCCUGCGCUUAAUUGCGCGGCCAGUUCUUGAUUCUCUGCUAUCAGUUUUCUAUUUCUCAUCCUAAACACAAUGGAGUUUUUUCUCUAUGAACUACUUCCCUGGAGAGCUCGUCUCUCCAGUGGACAUAAACACAAACAAUAUUUUGUAUUAUGAAAAACUAUUAUACUAUAAAAUUUAAUAUUCAAAACUUUCAACAACGGAUCUCUUGGUUCUCGCAUCGAUGAAGAACGCAGCGAAUUGCGAUAUGUAUUGUGAAUUGCAGAUUUUCGUGAAUCAUCAAAUCUUUGAACGCACAUUGCGCCCUCUGGUAUUCCAGGGGGCAUGCCUGUUUGAGCGUCAUUUCUCUCUCAAACCUUUGGGUUUGGUAGUGAGUGAUACUCGUCUCGGGUUAACUUGAAAGUGGCUAGCCGUUGCCAUCUGCGUGAGCAGGGCUGCGUGUCAAGUCUAUGGACUCGACUCUUGCACAUCUACGUCUUAGGUUUGCGCCAAUUCGUGGUAAGCUUGGGUCAUAGAGACUCAUAGGUGUUAUAAAGACUCGCUGGUGUUUGUCUCCUUGAGGCAUACGGCUUUAACCAAAACUCUCAAAGUUUGACCUCAAAUCAGGUAGGAGUACCCGCUGAACUUAAGCAUAUCA
rnacentral:misc_RNA from 1 species